AUUAGUGUUAGGUUAAUACUUGUCAAAAUAUUGGGAGACAGGGUUUUAUCGGAGUACAAGGUUUAUGGAAACUUUUUGUUGUUAAGCUAUAGGGGAAGUACUGUGAGGGAAGGUUGAAAUAAUAAUGUAAUAUUUAAGUGUAGAAAAGAAGGAGUAGAAGACUGUACCUUUUGUAUAAUGGUUUAGCUAGUGUUUUGGUUUUAGGUAGUGCCAACCCCGAAGUUGGGCGAGCUAAUGUAGGCUGUUUGUAAGAAGUGGAAUUGUUACUGUUGCAAAAGUAAGAUUUGAGGUUACAUUAGGUGUGAAAUGCUAAUCGCGCCCAAGGAUAGCUGGUUUCUUCGGAAAGUGGUGUAAGCUGAAUUUUCGAAUUUGCUGGGAAGUUGUUGUCGACGUGAGAAUUGGAGUCUUCUUGGCGAGGUUCGGGGGGGAGAGACAAAUGGGGAUAAGCUCGUUUGUUGAGAAAGAAAAAGCUUUAUUUACAGACUAAGGAUAUUGGCCAACGUUGCGCAACUUGUACAUUUAGUAGGAUUAAUAACAUCUAUCUGUUUGGAUUACGUUAAAGUUUGUUUUAUUUGUUACGGAGCGGGUGAUUGGUUGUGGAUGUUUUUUAGGUCGUGAUUUAUUUACGGGGGAUUUUCAUAUUUUGAAAGUUAUUUUGCUAAGAUUAGUAGAGGAUAAUAAAGACCUUUUGUGGUUUAAACAACCCUAACGUUGGAUGGAGGGGCUAGCAAAGGUACGAGAAGGGCAGCCCAAUUUUUGUCUUCUAACGCAAGAGGUCUAUAUGUUGUAAAAGCAAGGAAAAGGAACUCGGCAAGUUUUUAUUCCGCCUGUUUACCAAAAACAUCGCCCCCCGAAAAGUCGUGCACUUGUGUAUGGGGGGUCCUGCCUGCCCGGUGACUUAGUUAAACGGCCGCGGUAUCUUGACCGUGCAAAGGUAGCAUAAUCAUUUGCCUUUUAAAUGGAGGCUGGUAUGAAUGGCAAGACGGGAGUUAGGCUGUCUCUUUCUUGUUCUUUUAAUUUAAUUUCUCUGUGAAGAAGCGGAGAUGAAGUCGUGGGACGAGAAGACCCUGUCGAGCUUUAGUAAACCCAGGCAGGUGGCCGGUGGUCGUGCUACUGCUAAUUUACUUUUUUGAGGUUUUAGUUUUACAAAGUUGAGGACCACACUUUGUGUGGGUUAUUUUGGUUGGGGCAACCGCGGAGAAGAAUGACCCUCCGCUGAAUUGACUAGGAAAGAUUAUAUUCUUCUUGUGCGAUUUUCGUUUUUUGUGAUCCGUUAGUGUUUAACGAUCAGAGGAGCAAGUUACCGCAGGGAUAACAGCGUUAUUUCCUUGGAGAGUUCAUAUUGAUAAGGGAGUUUGCGACCUCGAUGUUGGAUCGGGAUUUCCUAGGGGUGCAGCAGCUCCUAAGGGUUGGUCUGUUCGACCAUUAAAAUCCUACGUGAUCUGAGUUCAGACCGGCGGGAGCCAGGUCAGUUUCUAUCUGCGGCUGUGUUGGCCUGCCGUCUUUAGUACGAAAGGAUUAAGGGGGCGACAUCUAUGCUUUUAGGUAUGUGUUAUAUUGUGUCCUGGAUAAAA
rnacentral:rRNA from 1 species